GGGGACGAUCGGUUUCGACGGUGGUCGUGUUUCGAUGAGAAGCGGGCCGAGGAUGUGGGCUUAUCUCGUUAACGAUGCCUACAAAACAAUAGGUGCAGAUUCUAAGCGCACCGACUUCGCCCUUGCUGCCUGAUAGCGCAAGCGCCUAAUGAAGUCCGUCAGCCCGGGGAUGCUAUCGCCCCGGAUCCUGGCGUCAUCUAGAUAGCUCAGCUUGCAACCUUUGUCGUUGGGGUUGUAGGGACUUUUAGACGACUGAGCCUGUCAGUGAACGUGUCUGCGCGAGCACUGGGGCCGAGAAAAUCCAUAGCAGACUGCGCCCGGAGAAGUCCUGGAUGUGCGUCACCGGACCGGGGUUCGAUUCCCCGCGUCUCCAC
rnacentral:tmRNA from 1 species